rnacentral:rRNA from 1 species
GAUGAACGCUGGCGGCGUGCCUAAUACAUGCAAGUCGAGCGAACAGACGAGGAGCUUGCUCCUCUGACGUUAGCGGCGGACGGGUGAGUAACACGUGGAUAACCUACCUAUAAGACUGGGAUAACUUCGGGAAACCGGAGCUAAUACCGGAUAAUAUAUUGAACCGCAUGGUUCAAUAGUGAAAGACGGUUUUGCUGUCACUAUAGAUGGAUCCGCGCCGCAUUAGCUAGUUGGUAAGGUAACGGCUUACCAAGGCAACGAUGCGUAGCCGACCUGAGAGGGGGAGCGGCCACCCUGGAACUGGACCACGGUCCAAACCCCUACGGGGGGCCGAAGUAGGGAAUCUUCCGCAAGGGGGGAAAGCUUGACGGAGCAACGCCGGGUGAGGGAUGAAGGUCUUCGGAUCGUAAAACUCUGUUAUUAGGGAAAAAAAAAUGUGUAAGUAACUAUGCACGUUUUGACGGUACCUAAGCAAAAAGCCACGGCUAACUACGU